rnacentral:rRNA from 1 species
UACGGGGGGGGCAAGCGUUGUUCGGAAUUACUGGGCGUAAAGGGCUCGUAGGCGGCCAACUAAGUCAGACGUGAAAUCCCUCGGCUUAACCGGGGAACUGCGUCUGAUACUAGAUGGCUCGAGUGCAGGAGAGGAACGCGGAAUUCCAGGUGUAGCGGUGAAAUGCGUAGAUAUCUGGAGGAACACCGGUGGCGAAGGCGGCGUUCUGGACUGCAACUGACACUGAGGAACGAAAGCCAGGGGAGCAAACGGG